UACAGAGGGGGCAAGCGUUGUUCGGAAUUACUGGGCGUAAAGGGCGCGUAGGCGGCCUCUUAAGUCGAACGUGAAAUCCCCAGGCUUAACCUGGGAACUGCGUCUGAUACUGGAUGGCUUGAAUUCGGGAGAGGGAUGCAGAAUUCCAGGUGUAGCGGUGAAAUGCGUAGAUAUCUGGAGGAAUACCGGUGGCGAAGGCGGCAUCCUGGACCGACAUUGACGCUGAGGAGCGAAAGCUAGGGGAGCAAACGGG
rnacentral:rRNA from 1 species